UCCCGUGUGGCUCAGUUGGUAGAGCAUGGUGUUUGCAACGCCAGGGUUGUGUGUUCGAUUCCCACGGGGG
rfam:Salmo salar isolate Sally breed double haploid chromosome ssa15, whole genome shotgun sequence.